rnacentral:rRNA from 1 species
CCUACGGGUGGCAGCAGUGGGGAAUAUUGCACAAUGGGGGAAACCCUGAUGCAGCGACGCCGCGUGAGUGAAGAAGUAUCUCGGUACGUAAAGCUCUAUCAGCAGGGAAGAAAAUGACGGUACCUGACUAAGAAGCCCCGGCUAACUACGUGCCAGCAGCCGCGGUAAUACGUAGGGGGCAAGCGUGCGCCGGCUUUACUGGGUGUAAAGGGAGCGUAGACGGCAGCACAAGUCUGGAGUGAAAUCCCGGGGCUUAACCCCGGAACUGCUUUGGAAACUGGCGAACUAGAGUGCGGGAGGGGUAGGCGGAAUUCCUAGUGUAGCGGUGAAAGGCGUAGAUAUUAGGAGGAACAGCGGUGGCGAAGGCGGCUUACUGGACCGUAACUGACGUUGAGGCUCGAAAGCGUGGGGAGCAAACAGGAUUAGAUACCCGAGUAGUC